UUAUCCAUCCUAAUGUGCAAUAUAUCAUUUUCUAAUAACACUGGGUUAGCCCUAACGCUGUGCGCUGCUCCCUUCGAUAGCAGGUAUCGAUUUCACACACUGUCCGAGCUCUGGCUUUCCACCGAACACGUACCUCCUGCAGCACCAGCUGAGCUCUGUGUAUUUACCUCUUCCUAAAGCCCAGGGCUAUGGACGGACCCCUGACACUGUGGCCUUUAGUUUUUCCAUCUGUCAUCAUUUAAUUUGGCAAUUCCUUCGCCGAAUGAAGACUAAUCUUUCGCAUCGCUGCAUUUCACUCCGUGCUGUGAUCUGGAGAUGGAAAUAGAUGAUGCCAGGUCUGUAAAUCCCUCGUGCUGACGGGGAUGGCACCUGGAAAUCUGCAGAGUCUGGACUGGAGCAUCUCGCUACAUCCACAGACAGCUCUUGCAGAAGAGGGCAGUGGACAUUGGAGUUGGGACAUUUGCACUUGUCCCAAUGCAAGCUGUUGUGGAAGAGGGCAAGGUUUUGACUGUUGAGAGACCUGCGUUCAUUGUAAACAAACAUCUGAGGACAUUCUACCACCUUGAGUGUGAC